UACGUAGGGUGCAAGCGUUAAUCGGAAUUACUGGGCGUAAAGCGUGCGCAGGCGGUUUUGUAAGUCAGAUGUGAAAUCCCCGGGCUUAACCUGGGAACUGCGUUUGAAACUACAAGGCUAGAGUGUGGCAGAGGGGGGUGGAAUUCCACGUGUAGCAGUGAAAUGCGUAGAGAUGUGGAGGAACACCGAUGGCGAAGGCAGCCCCCCGGGUUAACACUGACGCUCAGGCACGAAAGCGUGGGGAGCAAACAGG
rnacentral:rRNA from 1 species